GCAUCAACCCCGGGCGAUCGCGACUGAUGGAACCCCAACAACCACAGCGUUGCUGGUGGCCAGCGGUCGAGGAAAGUCCGGACUCCGCUUCAAGAGUGACGGUGGUUGCUAACGGCAACCCAGGGUGACCUGCGGGCUAGUGCCACAGAAAACAGACCGCCCCCACCGCCCCAACGGCGGGAGGGGGUAAGGGUGAAACGGUGCGGUAAGAGCGCACCAGCAGCCCAGGUGACUGGGCUGGCUAGGUAAACCCCACCGGGAGCAAUGCCAAGACGCGACACGUUGAACGUGACGCGUGCGCGCACACCGCAAGCCCUCACCGGCUUGCGGGGCUGGGCACUCGCCAGCAACGCGCGCAGGUAGGCAGCUUGAGGGCACCAGCAAUGGUGCCCCUAGAUGGAUGAUCGCCGACGCCACCAACGUGUGGCCGAACAGAAUCCGGCUUAUAGGGGCUGUGCAGUC
rnacentral:RNase_P_RNA from 2 species